AAAAAAACAAAAAGAUGGUAAACUUUGAAUACCCCUGUGGUUUCACAUUUUCUCAUUUUAGUACCCUGCGGUUUAAAGUGUAUCAAGUCAGCCUUUAUGGUUUCGCACUUUCUCACUUUAGUAUCAUGUGAUUUAAAAUGUAUCAAGUUAGUACCCUGUGGUUUUAUUUUUCUUUUUUCAUUAUCUAUUUUACUAAUUUUUUCGUUAAAUCAGUAACAAAGUUAAAAUUAAAGGAUACUAGAGUGAAUAUUUGAUAAAUCUAGGUAGGGUAUCUGAAGCUUUUUGUAUAUAAUUUAAUGAAAUAUUAACGGAGGAAAAAAAAAUCAGUAAUAAAAUUAAAACUAAAGGAUACUAAAGUAAAUAUUUGAUAAAUCUAGAUAGAGUAUCUAAAGUUUUUUGUAUAUAAUUUAAGAAAUAUUAACAGCGGAGUCGACGAAAAGAGAAAAAUAAAAUUACAGGUACUAAAUUGAUGCACUUUAAACCACAUGAUAUUAAAGUGAAAAAGUGUAAAAUCACAUGAUACUAAAUUGCUACGCUUGAAAUCACAUAAUAUUAAAGUGAAAAAGUGCGAAACCACGAGAGUAGUAUUUAAAGUUUUCCCUUCAAAGAAAAAGUGAAUAAAACUUUUGGAUUACAAGGGGAGAAUGAAAGUGUGAAAGUGAUGUGCACUUGUAACUAGUUUCCAAUCCACACUUUUUGCUCUCAUAUAUUUAUCUAUGCUUCAAUCUACUCUUUCUAGAACUUAUUUAUUAAUUAUUAUUAUUAUUAUUAUUAUUAUUAUUAUUAACUAGACUAGUAUAUUUUUGAAAGCACAGAGAAUUUCAUAAUUUUAGAUUAUUUCUUGAUGAUGGGAUAUCCGAUUCCGCGGUUGGUUUUGUUAAACAUAAUCUACAGGAUUGAAAUUAUUUAGAAACAAAAUUUUUUAAUUUUUCGAUGUUAUUUGCUUAGUAAACGAGCAGUUUAAAAAUAAAUAAUUAAAAAUAAUAAUUUUAUAUUAAAAUUUUAUCUAAUUUAGAUUGUUCUACACGGUUGAAAACAUAUCACAUAGAUUAUUAAAAUAAUUAUUUUUAAAAUUCUUUGAUCACUUUACAAAUGACGACGAAAAAAAAAAAAGAUUUCUAAAUAAUUUCUAUACUAUAGGUCAUCCCUACAAAGAUGAUUGCCGAAUCAGAUAUUUAAUCAUAAAGUAACUCAGAUGCACGAAGACCUCUACCCUUUCGAAAAUAUACA
rnacentral:lncRNA from 1 species